rnacentral:rRNA from 1 species
CCUACGGGUGGCAGCAGUGGGGAAUAUUGCACAAUGGGGGAAACCCUGAUGCAGCGACGCCGCGUGAGUGAAGAAGUAUCUCGGUACGUAAAGCUCUUUCAGCAGGGAAGAAAAUGAAGGUACCUGACUAAGAAGACACGGCUAACUCCGUGCCAGCAGCCGCGGUAAUACGUAGGGGGCAAGCUUUAUCCGGAUUCACUGGGUGUAAAGGGAGAGUAGGCGGCAGCAGAAGUCUGGAGUGAAAUCCCGGGGCGUAACCCCGGAACUGCUUUGGAAACUGUGCGGCUGGAGUGCAGGAGGGGUAAGCGGAAUUCCUAGUGUAGCGGUGAAAUGCGUAGAUAUUAGGAGGAACACCGGUGGCGAAGGCGGCUUACUGGACUGUAACUGACGUUGAUGCUCGAAAGUGUGGGUAUCGAACAGGAUUAGAUACCCCAGUAGUC